UACGUAUGGUGCAAGCGUUGUUCGGAUUUACUGGGCGUAAAGAGUGCGCAGGCGGGUAAUUAAGUCAGGUGUGAAAUCUUCGGGCUCAACCCGAAGACUGCACUUGAAACUAAUAAUCUCGAGUCUCGGAGAGGCAGGCAGAAUUUCUGGUGUAGCGGUGAAAUGCGUAGAUAUCAGGAGGAAUACCAAUGGCGAAGGCAGCCUGCUGGACGGUGACUGACGCUGAGGCACGAAAGCGUGGGGAGCAAACAGG
rnacentral:rRNA from 1 species